AUACGGAGGGUGCAAGCGUUGUUCGGAAUUAUUGGGCGUAAAGCGCGUGUAGGCGGUCUGUUAAGUCUGGUGUGAAAGCCCUGGGCUCAACCCAGGAAGUGCAUUGGAUACUGACAGACUUGAGUAUGGGGGAGGAAAGCGGAAUUCCGAGUGUAGGAGUGAAAUCCGUAGAUAUUCGGAGGAACACCAGUGGCGAAGGCGGCUUUCUGGACCAAUACUGACGCUGAGACGCGAAAGCGUGGGGAGCAAACAGGAUUAGAAACCCCAGUAGUCC
rnacentral:rRNA from 1 species